GGGGUUGUGGCUCAGUGGUACAGCGCAUGACUGGCAUGCAUGAGGCCCUGGGUUCGAUCCUCAGCACCA
rnacentral:tRNA from 1 species